rnacentral:rRNA from 1 species
UAUCAUUAACUGAAUCCAUAGGUUAAUGAGGCGAACCGGGGGAACUGAAACAUCUAAGUACCCCGAGGAAAAGAAAUCAACCGAGAUUCCCCCAGUAGCGGCGAGCGAACGGGGAGGAGCCCAGAGCCUGAAUCAGCAUGUGUGUUAGUGGAAGCGUCUGGAAAGGCGCGCGAUACAGGGUGACAGCCCCGUACACAAAAGCGCAUGUGCUGUGAGCUCGAUGAGUAGGGCGGGACACGUGGUAUCCUGUCUGAAUAUGGGGGGACCAUCCUCCAAGGCUAAAUACUCCUGACUGACCGAUAGUGAACCAGUACCGUGAGGGAAAGGCGAAAAGAACCCCGGCGAGGGGAGUGAAAAAGAACCUGAAACCGUGUACGUACAAGCAGUGGGAGCACCCUUUGGGUGUGACUGCGUACCUUUUGUAUAAUGGGUCAGCGACUUAUAUUCUGUAGCAAGGUUAACCGAAUAGGGGAGCCGGAGGGAAACCGAGUCUUAACCGGGCGUUAAGUUGCAGGGUAUAGACCCGAAACCCGGUGAUCUAGCCAUGGGCAGGUUGAAGGUUGGGUAACACUAACUGGAGGACCGAACCGACUAAUGUUGAAAAAUUAGCGGAUGACCUGUGGCUGGGGGUGAAAGGCCAAUCAAACCGGGAGAUAGCUGGUUCUCCCCGAAAGCUAUUUAGGUAGCGCCUCGUGAAUUCAUCUCCGGGGGUAGAGCACUGUUUCGGCUAGGGGGCCAUCCCGGCUUACCAACCCGAUGCAAACUGCGAAUACCGGAGAAUGUUAUCACGGGAGACACACGGCGGGUGCUAACGUCCGUCGUGAAGAGGGAAACAACCCAGACCGCCAGCUAAGGUCCCAAAGUCAUGGUUAAGUGGGAAACGAUGUGGGAAGGCCCAGACAGCCAGGAUGUUGGCUUAGAAGCAGCCAUCAUUUAAAGAAAGCGUAAUAGCUCACUGGUCGAGUCGGCCUGCGCGGAAGAUGUAACGGGGCUAAACCAUGCACCGAAGCUGCGGCAGCGACACUGUGUGUUGUUGGGUAGGGGAGCGUUCUGUAAGCCUGUGAAGGUGUGUCGUGAGGCAUGCUGGAGGUAUCAGAAGUGCGAAUGCUGACAUAAGUAACGAUAAAGCGGGUGAAAAGCCCGCUCGCCGGAAGACCAAGGGUUCCUGUCCAACGUUAAUCGGGGCAGGGUGAGUCGACCCCUAAGGCGAGGCCGAAAGGCGUAGUCGAUGGGAAACGGGUUAAUAUUCCCGUACUUGGUGUUACUGCGAAGGGGGGACGGAGAAGGCUAUGUUGGCCGGGCGACGGUUGUCCCGGUUUAAGCGUGUAGGUGUGUGUUCCAGGUAAAUCCGGUUCACUUUAACACUGAGGCGUGACGACGAGGCACUACGGUGCUGAAGCAACAAAUGCCCUGCUUCCAGGAAAAGCCUCUAAGCAUCAGGUAACAUCAAAUCGUACCCCAAACCGACACAGGUGGUCAGGUAGAGAAUACCAAGGCGCUUGAGAGAACUCGGGUGAAGGAACUAGGCAAAAUGGUGCCGUAACUUCGGGAGAAGGCACGCUGACACGUAGGUGAAGUGAUUUACUCAUGGAGCUGAAGUCAGUCGAAGAUACCAGCUGGCUGCAACUGUUUAUUAAAAACACAGCACUGUGCAAACACGAAAGUGGACGUAUACGGUGUGACGCCUGCCCGGUGCCGGAAGGUUAAUUGAUGGGGUCAGCGCAAGCGAAGCUCCUGAUCGAAGCCCCGGUAAACGGCGGCCGUAACUAUAACGGUCCUAAGGUAGCGAAAUUCCUUGUCGGGUAAGUUCCGACCUGCACGAAUGGCGUAAUGAUGGCCAGGCUGUCUCCACCCGAGACUCAGUGAAAUUGAACUCGCUGUGAAGAUGCAGUGUACCCGCGGCAAGACGGAAAGACCCCGUGAACCUUUACUAUAGCUUGACACUGAACAUUGAGCCUUGAUGUGUAGGAUAGGUGGGAGGCUUUGAAGUGUGGACGCCAGUCUGCAUGGAGCCGACCUUGAAAUACCACCCUUUAAUGUUUGAUGUUCUAACGUGGACCCGUUACCCGGGUUGCGGACAGUGUCUGGUGGGUAGUUUGACUGGGGCGGUCUCCUCCUAAAGAGUAACGGAGGAGCACGAAGGUUGGCUAAUCCUGGUCGGACAUCAGGAGGUUAGUGCAAUGGCAUAAGCCAGCUUGACUGCGAGCGUGACGGCGCGAGCAGGUGCGAAAGCAGGUCAUAGUGAUCCGGUGGUUCUGAAUGGAAGGGCCAUCGCUCAACGGAUAAAAGGUACUCCGGGGAUAACAGGCUGAUACCGCCCAAGAGUUCAUAUCGACGGCGGUGUUUGGCACCUCGAUGUCGGCUCAUCACAUCCUGGGGCUGAAGUAGGUCCCAAGGGUAUGGCUGUUCGCCAUUUAAAGUGGUACGCGAGCUGGGUUUAGAACGUCGUGAGACAGUUCGGUCCCUAUCUGCCGUGGGCGCUGGAGAACUGAGGGGGGCUGCUCCUAGUACGAGAGGACCGGAGUGGACGCAUCACUGGUGUUCGGGUUGUCAUGCCAAUGGCACUGCCCGGUAGCUAAAUGCGGAAGAGAUAAGUGCUGAAAGCAUCUAAGCACGAAACUUGCCCCGAG